AAUAAAAGAAAAAAAAUAACUUCUGGAUGAAAUAUAAAAUAUCAAAGUCUUAUGUGUAAAAAUUCUAACUAAAGGAAAAAUAAACCUAUAACAGGUCCUUGAAUCUGGGCCCAAUUAAAGUGAUUUAUGUCCUACCAGUGUGAAUUUCAAAACUACUCCACCCUAUUCAGACCAUUCUUUAGAAGAUCAGAUUUAGCUAUUUCCUGAUCAAUAACAAUAGAGAUACUUGGAAUAACAAAAUCAGGUCUUGAAAACUACAAUCUCCACCCUACUCAGUGUAACAAGAUUAGGAAGGGCUGCAGCAAACUCAAGAUUUAAUUAUUUGAGAAUAUGGCCUUCAACAGACAUAUGCAAAAAAAAGGACAGACCUCUGGGUGGUCCUAAGUCAAGCUUGAGCCACCAUUGGCACAUGUGAGAUGCAGGAAGUGAGGUAGAAAACAGCCUCUGGAGUUCUCAGGACUUCCUGUGAGGAGGGCUAGAGGCAGUUGGAGCCUGGUGCUUGGAGUUGGAGGAGCCCCUCGGUCUACUUUCCUUCAGAUUGGUCACGUGAAUUGGAUUUCAGUGAGGCAGCAUCACACAAAGUCCUCAGCCUCACUUUCUCUCCCAGUUUUUUUUUUUUAAACCCUUACCUUCCAUCUUGGAGUCAAUACCGUGGAUUGGCCACUGAACCACCCAGCUGUCCCCUCUCUUCCAGUUUUUGAAGUCCAGUGGCAAGACAAAAGUCAGGAUGACAGGUGAUGGCCCUGGAUGCAGUAGCUGACCUGAUCUUUGAUGUCUGAUCAAGCUCCAAGAACCCCUGACCAACCCCGUCAGGAAGAAUUUUUGAAUGGCCCAGAAGGAGUCAAAGGGAUUCUGUCAAAUGUAAGUGAAAAGCUGUGAGCCUUGCUGAAAGACCACAUUAGUACUCUAGAUGAACAGAUCAGGUAAUGUUGCUAUUGAAGAGGGAGCCAUAAUAUUCAGCUCAGCUAGAAACUGAAGGGGUUAGUCAGUCAAUAAAUGUGAAUUAAGCACCCA
rnacentral:lncRNA from 1 species